ACUUUGAGGCUCUGAUUGCGUAAUCCUGCUCAGCCCAGGCAGGGGAACGAAAGUAGGAAACGAAAUGCAGUGACAUUCUCUACAAAAAGGAAGCCCACAUAUUGGUGCGAGGCCAUCCAAAAAUAGCAGGCUUCUCCAGGCUAGGACACAUAGACCAAACAACUAAAUCUCUGGCAAAGGCGCCCAAGGCUGAGAUCCUGCACCCUCCCUGGGUAUGGGCUGUUGGGGACGCCUCCCCAUCGGCCUCAGCCUCAGCACCAGGACCUGUGCUUAGACUGCUGCUGCCCAGCAUGUGACCAGUCACUGAACCACACCCCGGAGAGGCAGAAAGAGACAGCUGUCUCACCCUGUGUAUGAAGCCACCAAAAUCCAACUGUGACCUCAAGCAAGCCAGUCCCUCUCUUGGGACUCAGUUUCCUCCUAUGCAAAUGCCGAAGCGGGAGGCCAGAUGGCCACCUGGAGCCUUUCCAGCUCCCCUUUCGGAAGAAAAUAAAAAAGGCCUCUCCAGAGGAAGCAAUGAAAAUUCCAGAUCAGUUUCUGGCCUUCUGGUUCUCCAGCAGACUCAUACAGCCAUUCCACA